AGUUUUAACAACUUGAACACACAACUGAACGUUCCCGUUACUUUCGACUGUAAAUAUACCAAAGGCUUGAAGCAUGGGUGUUGAGUAAAUUGACAGGCGGUCUGAGAGCACAGCCUUUCCUGCGCCAGAAAGCUACCUAGCUCUGGUACUUGGACCUUGGGAAGAGAAUCCUGAUCAAGCCAAAGUAGCCCAGGAGAACUGAGCAGCGUUUGUGGGAGGAGCCGACCUUGUGCAGAGAGGUCGGUUAGAGUCGACAUUCCCAAGAUGCUGGAGUUGUUCCAGACUGGUCAUGAGUAUAUAGUGGAGAAGGAACGCUGUCAUCACUACGGUAGGAACGGUAAGUCAGAAGGCACACUGUCAUCACUACGGUAGGAACGGUAAGUC